rnacentral:misc_RNA from 1 species
AAAGUUGGAACAUACUAAAUGUAUGCCUACCAUGAAGCCUUGAAUCUUAGUCCAUCUUCGACGGAGGUAGUAAAAAGGCAUAUCUGAUGCCUAUUUUCCGCUGCCUUCUACCUCGUAUGUAUGGGCGACAUCUCUAGAUUGCUUGAAUAUCCCUUUGGAUUACAUGCAGCUGCUAGCGCAGUUCACAGAUCAAAUAGAGGUGGUCCCUUGAGUUCCGCGUUCUAUCACUAUAAAUGUGAUAUGAUGUAGG